CCUACGGGAGGCAGCAGUGGGGAAUCUUGCGCAAUGGGCGAAAGCCUGACGCAGCAACGCCGCGUGCGGGAUGAAGGCCUUCGGGCUGUAAACCGCUUUCAGCAGGGAAGAAAUUGACGGUACCUGCAGAAGAAGCCCCGGCCAACUACGUGCCAGCAGCCGCGGUAACACGUAGGGGGCGAGCGUUGUCCGGAUUUAUUGGGCGUAAAGAGCUCGUAGGCGGUUCGGUAAGUCGGGUGUGAAACCUCCAGGCUCAACCUGGAGACGCCACCUGAUACUGUUGUGACUAGAGUCCGGUAGGGGAGUGUGGAACUCCUGGUGUAGCGGUGAAAUGCGCAGAUAUCAGGAAGAACACCAGCGGCGAAGGCGGCACUCUGGGCCGGUACUGACGCUGAGGAGCGAAAGCGUGGGUAGCAAACAGGAUUAGAUACCCUGGUAGUCCACGCCGUAAACGUUGGGCACUAGGUGUGGGUCUCAACCAACGAGAUCCGUGCCGCAGCUAACGCAUUAAGUGCCCCGCCUGGGGAGUACGGCCGCAAGGCUAAAACUUAAAUGAAUUGACGG
rnacentral:rRNA from 1 species